rnacentral:rRNA from 1 species
GAUGAACGCUAGCGGCGGGCUUAAUACAUGCAAGUCAAGGGGUAGCAAUACACCGGCGUACGGGUGCGUAACGCGUAUGGAACCUGCCCUUAUCUGGGGGAUAACUCGGGGAAACUCGAGCUAAUACCGCAUAAGAUAGUAGAAUGGCAUCAUUCAGCUAUUAAAGAUUUAUUGGAUAAGGAUGGCCAUGCGUAAGAUUAGAUAGUUGGCGAGGUAACGGCUCACCAAGUCUACGAUCUUUAGGGGCUCUGAGAGGAGAAUCCCCCCACACUGGCACUGAGAUACGGGCCAGACUCCUACGGGAGGCAGCAGUAGGGAAUAUUGGGCAAUGGGCGGAAGCCUGACCCAGCCACGCCGCGUGCAGGAGACGGCCCUCUGGGUUGUAAACUGCUUUUAACUGGGAAGAAAAGAGGCCUUGCGAGCAAGUUGACGGUACCAGUUGAAUAAGCCACGGCUAAACUACGUG